rnacentral:rRNA from 1 species
AUUGAACGCUGGCGGCACGCCUAACACAUGCAAGUUGAACGGUAGAGGGGGCAACCCCUUGAGAGUGGCGAACGGGUGAGUAAUGCAUCGGAACGUGCCCAGUCGUGGGGGAUAACGCAGCGAAAGCUGUGCUAAUACCGCAUACGAUCUCUGGAUGAAAGCGGGGGACCGAAAGGCCUCGCGCGAUUGGAGCGGCCGAUGUCAGAUUAGGUAGUUGGUGGGGUAAAGGCUCACCAAGCCAACGAUCUGUAGCUGGUCUGAGAGGACGACCAGCCACACUGGGACUGAGACACGGCCCAGACUCCUACGGGAGGCAGCAGUGGGGAAUUUUGGACAAUGGGCGCAAGCCUGAUCCAGCAAUGCCGCGUGCAGGAAGAAGGCCUUCGGGUUGUAAACUGCUUUUGUACGGAACGAAAAGGUCUGGGUUAAUACCCUGGGCACAUGACGGUACCGUAAGAAUAAGCACCGGCUAACUACGUGCCAGCAGCCGCGGUAA